CGCGGCCAGAGAAUCCCACCCUGACUUCUCGUAGCGGGGCUGGUUGAACCCCCAAAUCCCUCCCCAUUUGUUUUGCUCCCCUUCCUUUUAAUUCUGCAUUUCAUUCCGGCCUGAGAAACGUGCUGGACGUGAAAAAUGCUCGUGAAUUCUUAUUAGAGAUGGUGACUGUGCCUCCGAGCAGGACAUUGCAUAUUCAUCAGUGUGACGGACCUCAGCUCCCCACUUCAGACCAGCCUUGGACCCUGCGGUGUCCUGCCCAGAGGGUAUGUGCACCCCCUCAGAUGCCAAGGAGAGCUGCUGAAUGUCGGGUCCUUGAGAGAGGACGGGCUUCCCCGAU